rnacentral:rRNA from 1 species
AUUGAACGCUGGCGGCAGGCCUAACACAUGCAAGUCGAGCGGAGCGGCGGACGGGUGAGUAAUGCCUAGGAAUCUGCCUGGUAGUGGGGGAUAACGUCCGGAAACGGGCGCUAAUACCGCAUACUAUCAGAUGAGCCUAGGUCGGAGUAGCUAGUUGGUUGGGUAAAGGCCUACCAAGGCGACGAGCCCUAGCUGGUCUGAGAGGAUGACCAGCCACACGGGAACUGAGACACGGUCCAGACUCCUACGGGAGGCAGCAGUGGGGAAUAUUGCACAAUGGGCGCAAGCCUGAGGCAGCAAUGCCGUGUGAAUGAAGAAGGUCUUCGGAUUGUAAAGUACUUUCAGCGGGGAGGCGUUACCCGCAGAAGAAGCCCCGGCUAACUCCGUGCCAGCAGCCGCGGUAAUAC